UAUCCCUCAUUGUAAAAAAAUCUUGGCUUCUUCCCUUCUUCCUUCUCACAAGAUAGCCUCAUUGCCACCGCCGGCCCUCAUCUCCGCCGAUGGCGCCACUGCCAGAUCUCAUCAGGUUGUAGCAUUUCAUCAGGCCUUGGUGGUGUUUUGAAUGUAUCAAAACCAGCAAAGGGAUCAUUGGUUGUUGUUUUUGGCCUUGGAGCUAUAGGACUUGCGGUCCUAAUUUAUCAUUUCAAGCACAGAGGUUGAUCAAGCAUAUUCAAAACUUGAGAAAGGUCAUCUACGCAGAUACUAGAUUGUAAUUUGAAGCUGCAUGAGGAAAUUUGUAGACCCUAAAAUUGUUAGAACAAUUACAAAGUGUAUCCAAUUAUACUUCAACGAUGCAUGGCCAACAUGGAAGAAAGUUCCUGAAGCUAUCAAAGAUGAGAUGUGGGCAAAAUUUGAGGGAAAAUUUAUGUGGCCUAUUGAGAAAGCAAAAGUUGUGAGAGCAAUUUGGGAGACUACGUGCAAGGAACGGUUGCGUGGUAUGUUGGAAGAAGAAAGGAAGCGGGCAAUGAGACAUUUUGGUGUUAGUGAAAUUUCAAAGUGCAAAGGUUACAAUGUAGGUUGGAUUCGACUGGACAUUUGGGAUCGAUUGGUUAGUGAUGUGUGGACUACGGAUGCAUG